AUGGCUUCCAGCGCCGCCGCCGACGUGGUUGAGACCGAGCUGUUCCCCUUCAUCCGCGUGUACAAGAGCGGCCGCGUCGAGCGCCUGCUCGGCACCGACACCGUGCCGGCGUCCUUGGACGCCUCCACGGGCGUGGCGUCCAAGGACGUCGUCAUCGACCCGGCCACCGGCGUCUCCGUCCGCCUCUACCUCCCGCCAGCGGCUGCGGCGUCCGGGGGCGAAGGCAAGAAGCUGCCCGUCCUCGUGUACUUCCACGGCGGCGGGUUCAUGGUCGAGACGGCGGCCUCCCCGACGUACCACCGCUACCUCAACGCGCUCGCCGCCCGCGCGGGCGCGCUCGCGGUGUCCGUGGAGUACCGCCGCGUGCCGGAGCACCCGCUCCCCGCGGCCUACGACGACUCGUGGGCGGCCCUGGCGUGGGCGGUCGCCGGCUCCGCACCGGGAGGCCCCGAGCCGUGGCUCGCGGCGCACGGGGACGCGUCCCGCGUGUUCCUCGCCGGCGACAGUGCGGGCGCCAACAUCGCGCACAACGUCGCCCUGCGCGCAGCCGCCGAGGGCCUCCCGCGCCCGUGCGCGGCCAUCGUCGGCGUGCUGCUGGUGCACCCCUACUUCUGGGACCCGACCAACGCCAUGGCGCCGGCGCUGGAGGUCAGGAUCCGCAACGAGUGGCGGUUCAUGUGCGCGCGCCCCGACGCCGGGGUCGACGACCCGAGGUUCUGCCCGACGUGCGCCGUGGCGGCGCCGCGGCUCGCGGCGCUGCCGGGCAAGAGGGCGAUGGUGGCCGUGGCGGGCGACGACUUCCUGGCGGUGAAGGGGCGGGCGUACCACGCGGCGCUGCUCGCGAGCGGGUGGCGCGGGGAGGCCGAGCUGGUGGACACGCCGGGGCAGGACCACGUGUUCCAUCUCAUGCGGCCGGGGACGGAGGCGGCCGCAGACAUGUUGGACCGCGUCGCGGGGUUCAUUUCUCGUGCUUGA
rnacentral:rRNA from 1 species